rnacentral:rRNA from 1 species
GACGAACGCUGGCGGCGCGCCUAACACAUGCAAGUCGAACGAGCGAGAGAGAGCUUGCUUUCUUGAGCGAGUGGCGAACGGGUGAGUAACGCGUGAGGAACCUGCCUCAAAGAGGGGGACAACAGUUGGAAACGACUGCUAAUACCGCAUAAGCCCACGACCCGGCAUCGGGUUGAGGGAAAAGGAGCAAUCCGCUUUGAGAUGGCCUCGCGUCCGAUUAGCUGGGUGGUGAGGUAACGGCCCACCAAGGCGACGAACGGUAGCCGGACUGAGGGGCUGAACGGCCACAUUGGGACUGAGACACGGCCCAGACUCCUACGGGAGGCAGCAGUGGGGAAUAUUGCACAAUGGGGGAAACCCUGAUGCAGCGACGCCGCGUGGAGGAAGAAGGUCUUCGGAUUGUAAACUCCUGUUGUUGAGGAAGAUAAUGACGGUACUCAACAAGGAAGUGACGGCUAACUACGUG